CUAGGGGCCUGGACCGUUGAGGCGCACUACUGAGGGAGAUCUGCUGCUGACGAACACAACGUGCUCUGCCUAUCCACUCUUCCAAGAGUACGUGCACUUGCCACAGUGGUAUUCACUUUACAAGAGUGCUAAACACUCAAGUGUGUAUCUUUUGUUGGUGAAAAGCCUGCUUUGCCUUCAGCAUAUUAUUGUUGUGUCUGAGGACCGCGGAGUGGAGAUGACAUUGUGUUUGGAGCUGAUGUGAGAUUUAUCAGCGGGGCCGUGAAUGAAACAGUUUGGCAGGGAUGACUACAUUCUUUGGGAGUCAUGACGUGAUCCAAGAAGUCUGAUAUGCAUUCGUGGCACCUCGCUCUGAUUUAAUAACAGUGAGAACUUGUCUUCGCUCUCUCUCUCUGUUUUUCCUGCAUCUGCCUCUGUGCCAGAGAGUGUGCAGUAAAUGGCAACACCAAUUCACCUGGACUUCACUAGCUUGUAAUGGGCGCAUUACGCUCCAGCCCCCCCAUCCAGUGCCUAUCAUAGGGGACAGAGGUCACCUCUCUCCUCCUUGCUCCUGAUUGAAGGCAUUUAUGCCAAUUUUGGGAAACAGCCUUUCUAGGCUAAUGACCCCAACAACCUUGGACUUUUCUCCUGGUUGGCCUUGGUGACCAAACUGCCUGAGGUCACCGUCUCUUUAUGGGUGCUCUCUCCCUUUUGGAUCUACUGAAUUGAGAAGCAUUUGCAUUUCGCUUUGUGGCAUCUCUGUAUUCCAAUGAAAUACACACAGCUGGUCUUUGUUAUGCAUAUUUAUCAUGGAUAUGUGUGUAAUUGUGUUGCCUUACAUUGUUUGUAACAAUUACAAUCUUCCAUUCUGAAGAGAAUGAGCAUCUGAAUACCCAAAUGUGUGAAUAUCUAGAUAUUUGUAAUGUUUAAUCUAACCUAAAGAAAUGGCUACAAAUGAUUGUGGGAUUACUUUGCUAUAUACACCAACCAAAAAAACGCUUAGAAUGAGACGAAUCAAUGUCCAGCAUUUAUUUCAGUUUCUUUCCUCUCUGAAAGUAAAAUGGGUUCUUAACUUUCUCCAUUAAAUAUAAUUGCAGUUCUUCUAGUUUCAUAAAAGUAAUGAUGAAAAGAGGCCCGUGGUUAAGAUUUGAGUUGAAGUAAAUGAUGGGGCAGGAGUUUGCUUGUAGGGCCCCAUCAUCACGGCGAUUAGCUUCUGUUUGCAGGACAGAAGCCACAGACCAUUACUGCUGCACCAUCUUCUGUUGUGUUUGAAGUGCGAAAGCAUGUUUUCAGUGUCAUCUAUAUUUUUAUUUACGAUUUCAUAAUCCGAAGUUGUGAAAAGUUCAAUUGUAAACUUUUUAUUUGAUAUUUUUAUGGUUUUAAUUAGCUUUGAUUGAAUGUAAAUUUUAACUUUUUAAAUUGAAUUACACAAAUAAUUGGAAUGCUUAGUUUCAUUAAUUUUCAUUUGAUUUAUAAAUACAUCGCUCUUAAAGAGUAUUGAAUGUAAAAAUGUUGUUACGAAUUAAAAAAAAUGAGUUUUUGUGAGCUCUAGUAAUAGACAAUGGGUGAAACCUUGCAUUCGCAAGAACACAAUGUAAAUGUAAAUAUUUUUGUAAUAUUGAUUUUAUUUAAAUGUAUUAGAUGUAUUAAAUGCACUAGGUUUGUGGUAGUAACUGUAACUGAUAUUGCUUAAAUUCACACAGAUGUAUGAAAAGGCACAGUUGUGGGAAAUUUUAACCUGAAAAACUGUUCCCUGUGUAUCUUGCCUUUACAAACCCCCACACCCCCCCCCCCCCCAAAACUCUGCCCUCCUCACUCUUUCUCAGACAUGGCAUCAUUAAAAGAACCUAUUGCUCCCGCUGUGAGAUUAUGAAGUUAAUUAUUUUAAGAUCAAACGACCAGCGGUUACAAUGAAGCCCAUUGCAAAAAAACUUCUGAGGUCUCCCCCCCAAACCACCGUCAUCACCUCCCCUUUCCUCUCAAAUUAAAGCACAGUGGGGAUCUCUCCACACCUCUCAGGUGAAUUCCCCCAGUGGCCUACAUCCUCCCAUUAGUAGCCUUUUAGCUGCAGGCUAAGGUAGGGCUACUAAUUGGCCUCGGGAACAAAACUAGCCCUCUGACAGGCUCAGACUCGCAGGAAGCUAAAAAUGCCCAAAUUGCCCCAAUCCCGGGAAGCUGCUGUUUGCCAGAGGCUGGCUGGACCAUUCCACCAACACUUUAGUUUCAUAACUACAAUGUUACAGUUGAAUUCUCUGUGAGUUGUGGAGUUGUCAAAAAUCUUCAGGAUAUUUUAAAAUUGUAUUCUGUAAUGCUUGACCUCACUUGAUGCAAAGGGUCUUUUAAUAGUGUAUAAUAUUGUAGUCUCUUCAUAUGUAAUUUCACAAAUAGAAGAUGUGCUUAAAGAUCAAUGGGUAAAUAACAAAAGUUUGUCCUGCCAUUGUGAU